rnacentral:tRNA from 1 species
GAGCGCCAGACUUUUAAUCUGGUGGUCGAGGGUUCGAUCCCCUCGGUGGGCGCUUCUUUUGCACUUUUUACA